CUGUCCUGUACUUAAAAUCUAUCUCCUAGAAUACUGAUUAGGCUUGAGGAAAGUGGAGAAAUUCCCAGUUGGAGAAAGACACUCUCUACUGAAUGGUUACUUCAGAUUCCUAAGGAGCGUUUAGCGUUUCUUAAAGAAACUGCCAGCAGGAAUUUGAGUACAACAGCCAGCAACAAUUUGAUGUGGAUCAGGGGAACUCUUGAAGUCAGCUUAAGGAUGGUCCUGCCUUGGUCUGCACUCUUUAAAAGGUCAACAGGGAAACACAAACUCUGUGCACUGCGAAGAAAACAAGCUCAUAUUACCAAGUGUGAAAUUAGAACAAGCAUCUACAGGCUGAGAACUGGAAAAGACCCUCCCCAUCAUGGCGGAUUUUUACAACCAGUGGUGGAGAGUAACUGCAAACUAUAGCAUCUUUCUACUCAUCUUACCAAAAAAAAAGUUCAAAGAAGGUGUUCUACAAGGUCGGUGUUUGAGGCGGCUCCUGCUUCAUUAUGAUGCAGUGAAGACUGGGUCAUGGUGGCAUUACUAUGAACCUCGGAGAAGCCAGGCCUAAAGUCUACACCCAUACUUUUCUGUUGUGAAAGAUAAUCUUUUUGUUGUUGUUGUUGUUAAGCUAGUUUUACCUGGGUUUCCUGACAUUUGCAAUCAAACGAGUCCUCAAGGAAACCCAGAAAAAAUUUUCAGAAAAAUAAUUCAAAUAAAGAAACA